rnacentral:lncRNA from 1 species
AGAUUUUUCUCUCCCUAAUUUGACUUGGCUACCCUUAUGCAUCCUUUAUAAUAAGCAGUAUAUAUUAUUUUGAGAAUAUAUGUACAAGCAAAUAAGCUAAGGAUGCCAUUAUCUACAGUCAUUCUUUUCCUUUUAUUGAAAAUAUAUUUUUCAUACAAUAUAUUCUGAUCAGGUUUUCCCUUCCCCUGACUCCUUUCAGAUCCACCCCACCUUGACUUCCAUCCAAACUCAUAAUUCACACAUGUUUUUCUCUCUUUUGUUAGAAAACAAGCAGACAUCUAAAAGAUAAUAAGAUAAAACAAACUACAAAAAAGAAAUAGGACCCCAGAAAAAAAUGAGAAGAAAAAUAACCAAAGAAAAGGCUGAAGAAACACAUAUAGGCACAGAGACACAUACAGGCACACAAACAAAAAUACUAAAAAGACACGAAAAAAAAAAAACAGAAACUAUACUAUAUACACAAAAGAUCUGCAAAGUGAAAAACAAAACAAAACAAAACCAACAACAACAAAGCAAAAGCAUUCUGGAACCAAAAAAAAAAAAAAAAAUUCUCCAAAAUAUAAUUGAGUUCAUUUUGUGUUGGCCAUUGACUGCUGGGCAUGAGGCCUGACCACAAGUGUAUAUCCAGUGAGAUUUGGUUGGAGAAAAUCUGCAAGUAAUUAUCGAUUGCAGAUAGCUUCUAGGUUUGGCAUGGGGGGAGGGGGUGCAGGGGGUGUUGUGUGUGCUUCCUCUCUCGGUGCUGAGACCUCAUCUGGCUUAGACCAAAGCAGGCCCUGUGUGUGUAGCCACACAGCAUCACUGGUGAUCCUUACAGCAUCACAUCCUUAUCUUUAUUUACUUUUCUUCUUAGCAGCAUGCCUCCUCUUCCCAUUAUCUUAUUAAUAAUCCGUUCUUGGUUUGCAAGUUACCUAUUAACAGUUGUGGUAAAAUGAAUCACACAUGCACAUGCACGCGCGUGUGUGCGCGCAUGCGCACACACACACACACACACAGGGAGGGGGGAGAGAGAGAGAACACUCAUCUGUCCAUAUAUGAGUCAAAUGUAAAGCUCAUUAAACGGAGACAUACAUAUGUUCAUUUUUUCAAUAUAAAGAAUAUAGUCUUAGUUGCUGAAUUAAAAGCUCUGACAGAGUAAAGUUCAGAAGAGAUAGCUACCUAUGGUGACAUUUAAAUUCAUCAAUAUCUUGAAAGGUAUUUUUUUGAUGAGUUAAAUAUUAGAUUGAUAUUAAGUUAUUAUUUUUUAAUUAAAACUUACCAUGUUUUAUUCACAGUCAAGUUACCCCUUGUAGUUUAAACAAACAAACAAACAAACAAACAUAUCUAUACCCAGUCCCAGACAUUCAUUUUCCAGUGCCUUGGCCCAUCAGACUCUCUUUCUGAGCUGCUCAUCAGUCCUCCCCAAUCCAGCACCAAAUCAAAGUAUCAGCUCCUGGUUUCCAAGGAUACCCAAGAUCAUCCCUAUGAUACCUUAGAGACAGUUUCAUGAUUUGAUUUAAAGCAUUUUCUUCCACAGACACUGAGACAAUUGGGGUUCAACUGUGAGUCAGCUUCUGCAUCUAAAACCAAUUGCACUUACAAUGUGAAUAAGAAAUAAAUAAACAACCCCUCACAGUUAAGGUUUAAAAUUGUUCUAGCUUGCUUCUCUGUUAGGUGAUAGAACCCUCAAUAAAAGCAACUUAGGAGAAGGAAGGGUUUAUCUGACUUACAGGUGACAGACCAUCAUCUAAUAAAGCCUAGACAGGAACCUGGAGACAGGACUGAAGUAAAACAGAAGCAGAUGCCAGGGAAAUCCCUGAUUUUUUUUUUCUUGUGGCUGGAAAAAUUAACUUUUUUAUAUAACCCAGGACCUACAUGAGACUUGCUUACUGGACAAUCUGAUAGAGCCAUUUUCUCAAGUGAGGUUUCCUUUUCCCAGAGGACUCUAAUUUGUGUCAAGUUGAACAAAAUGACAAUAGCAAACAAUAAUCAAAACAAUAACAACAACAACAACAAAAACCUAACCACUCAUUUAAAUCAUUUUUGGGUUGCAUCCAUGAUUAUUUGCAUCACUAGAAUUUGUGUGGAAAAUUAAAUAGCUGCUUUUCUUCCCUUCUCCUCAGCCUGUUGAAGAACUGAGUCAGAUCUUGCUAGAGUCAACUCUUCCCUGGAUGUGACUCUGGGGGUCACAGGAGCCACAUUUGUUUUUGUGUGGGGUAAUUUACCAUAAAUAUCCUAUAUUGCAGUAUUUGAACAUGUGUCAGGCGAUAAUAUGUUUCCCCAAUACAAAUGAAUGUGAAAUACAAAAAUAUACCUUGAAAUUGUUAAAAAUCCUUCCAAGGAGUGACUUUUUCCCGUGAUAGAACAUUGAUCGUUCAAGCUGAGUGGCAACCUUUUAAUAUCAGCAGUCUUUCAGAGCUUUUGAAAUGUCACCACCAAAAUUAAUAUAAAUAUCUCAGGUGGGUAAAGGAGACACGGCUUGGACAGAUCCUCUCUUGGAAAGCAAGAAACAGGGGACCCACGUGGGCAUCAACCUCCCUUCCCUUCCAUUUUUUUUCUCUGUGUUCUAUAAAAGACCUCUUCUCCUACAGAGUCGUUACCCCCACUCUGCAAAAUAGCUCGAAGAGCUAGAAAGAAAUUGGAUUGGAAUUGGGAUUCUGAGAAGAAAGGAUGAAGCUUAUAUGAAGGAAACAAACAAGUAAUAUGAUAAACUCAACUGUAUUUACAAGGGCGAGUUCAGAUAAAUCUGAGCAUCUGACGUCACUGUCUAUAUGAGCAUGCGCAUGCCUGGAGGCACGUGCAUGCGUGCAUGCGUGCGGGUAGGUGGUGUGUACAUGGAGGAGUCAUCUCUCUACCUCCUCCCUCCUGUCUCCCCUGCCUCCUCGUACUUCCCCUGCAUCCUCCUUCCACUUCCUGUCUCUGUCUCUGCCUCUGCCUAAAUUGCUGGUUUUAAAGGCAUGACCACAGUGUUCAAUUUCAUUAAAAUAUUAUGAAACUUG